rnacentral:rRNA from 1 species
GGAAUAUUGGACAACGGGCGAAAGCCUGAUCCAGCCAUGCCGCGUGGGUGAAGAAGGCCUUAGGGUUGUAAAUCCCUUUCAGCGGGGAAGAUAAUGACGGUACCCGCAGAAGAAGCCCCGGCUAACUCCGUGCCAGCAGCCGCGGUAAUACGGAGGGGGCUAGCGUUGUUCGGAAUUACUGGGCGUAAAGCGCACGUAGGCGGGCUGUUAAGUCAGUGGUGAAAUCCCGGGGCUCAACCUCGGAAUUGCCUCUGAUACUGGCAGCCUCGAGUCCGGGAGAGGUGAGUGGAAUUCCGAGUGUAGAGGUGAAAUUCGUAGAUAUUCGGAGGAACACCAGUGGCGAAGGCGGCUCACUGGCCCGGUACUGACGCUGAGGUGCGAAAGCGUGGGGAGCAAA